rnacentral:rRNA from 1 species
UACGUAGGGUGCAAGCGUUGUCCGGAAUUAUUGGGCGUAAAGAGCUCGUAGGCGGUUUGUCGCGUCUGCUGUGAAAACUCGGGGCUUAACUCCGGGCCUGCAGUGGGUACGGGCAGACUAGAGUGCGGUAGGGGAGACUGGAAUUCCUGGUGUAGCGGUGAAAUGCGCAGAUAUCAGGAGGAACACCGGUGGCGAAGGCGGGUCUCUGGGCCGUAACUGACGCUGAGGUGCGAAAGCAUGGGGAGCGAACAGG